UACGUAGGGUGCGAGCGUUAAUCGGAAUUACUGGGCGUAAAGCGUGCGCAGGCGGUUUUGUAAGCCAGAUGUGAAAUCCCCGGGCUCAACCUGGGAAUGGCAUUUGGGACUGCAAGGCUCGAGUGCGGCAGAGGAGACUGGAAUUCCUGGUGUAGCAGUGAAAUGCGUAGAUAUCAGGAGGAAUACCGAUGGCGAAGGCAGGUCUCUGGGCUGACACUGACGCUCAGACACGACAGCAUGGGGAGCGAACGGG
rnacentral:rRNA from 1 species